AAGUCGUAACAAGGUUUCCGUAGGUGAACCUGCGGAAGGAUCAUUAUUGAAGCUCGGAAUGCGUGUUCGGUGCUGAUGCUGCCCAGCGAUGGGAUGUGCUCGCUCGGAUGUGUGUCCCUUUCUAUUCCACCCCUUUGUGAACCAAGUGUGCGAGCCGAUGAGAGAUCGGAAGCUCGCAUGCAAACCCCUUAACAUACCCCCAAUGAAGUAUCAGAAUGUAACUUGCGUUAACUCGCACAAAUACAA
rnacentral:misc_RNA from 1 species